UUUACCUACCCCUUCCUUUCAGCUGACGGGACUGACUUUGAAUGUUUCAUCCUUUAGAUCACCACCUAGAUCACCACCAUUGAAGAUACCUGAAAAUCAAUAGAUGGAUAUCUUGCUAUACUGUAUGAAGUAGAAUGAGUUAAGUGUGGUGUCAAGGAGUGUGUAGACCGUGAAGGACUGCUUGUCACCAAAUGGACGUGUCUGUGCUAGUUCAGAAUCUCCUUCAAGCUACGUUUGAAAUAUUUCUCUGUUGCAAAUCAAUCUUUACAUCUGUGAAAGCAAUCUACAAUUGUCUCCUGUAUUUCACAACUUGCUACCUGCAGUCAUCAUGGAAAGAUUUCUCCAGAACUCCACCUGAGAUUCAGCAAAAGUCCACCGAACCUGAGAUGCUGUGAACUAAAUGCUCUAAAUUCAAUGAAUCAGCAUUUCCCCCCCUGAAUUGUUCUGCUUGGAAGUGGGAAAAGUCACAGGUUUACUUCAUCUUUAAUACAAGUACUGUUAUGCAUAAUUCUUGCGUUUUUUUCCUUGAACAAAGCAGUUUACCCACCUUUUUGGUCCAAGGACAUGGACAGAGACAAUCUGGCGAAUUGAGCUGAGGUUGUUUAAGACAUAACCCCUCCAGCUGUCUUUCCGGCCCCUCUUUUAUAGGCUAACCCCUCCUACACCAGGCUUGGCAGGAUGGAACACUUGCACAUGUCUCAGCGCAAAGUCUGCUGUCUUAGCACAAACCUACUUUAUUCUGUGCUUUAAAGUAAAUUGCUGGACUUUGCACCUGAGGCAUGUACACACAGCCUGAGCCAGCUGCUUUUCCAUGGGGAUGUUUUCCCCUGGCAAACAGGUGGUAACAACUUGUGGAGAGGCUAGAUGCAAAAGAAAGUAAUAGUUUCUUAAACCACUAGUCAUUUCUGUUGUGAGUAUGUUCCUGCGGUCUGAGUCUCCAAAGGCCUGUAGACUUUGUUCUAUGGUAUUGCAGAAAUCAAUCUUCAGCCCCAUUUUAAUAGCUACAAGAGAAAGCUAUUAUAAACAUUCUCAGCCAAAUGAAAAAAGGUAUAGUAUGCAACCAUUGAAGAAUAUAAAUAAAUAUUUUGCAAAACUGCCUGUAAUUAUGCAAAGUAAGUUUUAUGCAAGGAAUGGCACCACCUAAAUUGCAGUGUAAUGUAUGCACACAUGUAGAGAAUACAAUAUUUUACAGCAAACUAUUGCCACCAUCCUGGAAUAGCUUUAGAGUUCUCUUCAAUUACUGAUUAACCUAUUCUAGUAAAAUGAAUUCUUUUAUGUUGGGAGGGGAGCUCUGCUGGUAAAUAUAUUCUUGCUAUUCUACGUUGAAAUAGUAAAGGUACAGUGGGAUUAUAGGGGAAGGUAGAAUUGCAGCUGUUAUAAACACCGUAUGUGACAACAUGACAUGAAUUCUUCUGCAGCUUUCCUUAUAGAAGGUAAGAAAUCCAAAAUUAGAUGGGACAGAGGCUACCUAAGCUGUUUUUGUAGCUAGAGCUUGUUCAUUUCUCACUUUAAACUUGGACGCUAGCAGUAAAUUUUAUUCUAGCAAAAAUUCCAAUAUUUAUGUUUUUUCCCAAUCCGUCAUCAUUUCUGUGUUUCCUGAUCAGUAGAACUGUUCUCAUUACAUUGGGCUGUAGCUCUUCACUGCAGAUACAGGGGAACAGGUCUGUUCUAGCCACAGCCGUUAGCAUCUGCCUUCCACUCCUGUGCCAUAAUGCACAUAAUGCAUGGUCUUAAUGCAGCACUGCAGCUUCUCUGGGAGCUGAACUGAAGUUACAGCACUGUGAUUGAGAAUGCCUUUUAGAAGGGGAGCAGAAACAAGUUAUAGGUAGGAAAGCUAGGAAAGCUGAAGCUCCCUUACCUAGUCUGUGCAAUGAGCCGACUUCUGACUGCCUUGCAUUUUGAAUGCUUUCAGAAUAUGCAUAAAAUGGGAAUCUGAUAUGGUGAUACUGCUGCAGUCAUAGUUGUUUCCGAAAUAGGUGGUGUUUCAACUUCCUAAGCAGUAAUUAUGCAUUGGUUGAUAUCCAGCCUUCCUUACCUUGUCUUUUUCAGCUUUGUCAUAAGGGUGUCUGGCAGGGCAAGAAAAAGGGAAGACACUUUAGUUUUGAAGAAUUUGCAAUUGUAAGCAGCUGGAAUGGAAAUGAUUAUUAACUCUUGUCAGAGGCAGACUGUUACCCCACAGGCUCUGUUGUGCAGUGGAGCAGGCCAAGUGAAAAGCUGUGGUCCAAGUUGCACCAGAGAGAAGGGAAGGUAGUGAGUUUGAAAGCUAAGAUUUUCAGGUGACCUUUCAUAGUUCUCCUGGCUAUCUGUGAAAAUCUUAAGGAGGUGCCUGUCAAUAGUACCAUAUCAUUCAUGAAUCUCAGUUUUGGUCACUUUAAAAGGGUAACAUGCUUUGAGAGGAAAAUCUUAAUGGAUCAAAAGAAGAAAUGUUAAUUCACAGAAAGUAGACCUUUCCAGAUGAGUCCUUAAAUCCUUGACUUCUUGUGCUGAAAUUGAUUCUGUUGUCCAUACAGCUAGGUCUUUAAGUCAAGUAUGUUCCCGAGAUCCAAAGUUUUACUUCCACUGAGUUCCUCUAGUGAAUAUCCAAGCUCUUCGAUUGCAUGAAUUAAUAGGCGUACCCUUUGAAUCGCAGAAGAUUGCACUAAGAUGUCUGUUUCAUUUGUAAAUUACAUUGAUUCACUUUCCUUCUAUGUAGCCGCUGGAGUCUGCUGGAAUAGAAGUCAGUCUGAAUUCCCCUUUAUCUGAAAGCAAAAAAAUCAUCAUAUAAGAUGUGUAAACAUGAUACACAUUUGGUGAGAUGAGGAAUUUUGUCUCUUGCCCUGUUUGUCUUGCUCUCUCUUCACGUGCAUGGAACUUGCAUUUCUCCAGUGCAGCGCUGUCACCUCUCCUUGAUGCACCACAAAGGUGGUCCUUUGCAAAGGCUCAUGAAGCAAGGGAGAAGCUCUGAUGCUGCAAGCACCUAGGCUGCAGUGCCACAGAACUUUUCCACUCAAGUCACCUAACCUGCUGUGGAGUGCCUCUCACCCUCAUAGUAGGGAAUUUUUAUGUAUGUUCUUCUACAGUUAACAUUUGUACUCUUCAGCCAUACCAUCUCCCAGCCUAGGUUAACAAAAGAAUUAAUAGAUCUGCAACCGAUUUUCUAGAUGGACCGCUAGACUAGACAUAUGAGGCUUCACCUGCCUCAUAUGCUGACCAGCUGCUGUUAGGAAAGCUUCUUGUCUGUCUCUGCCUUUAUAGUUAGAAAAUUUAUCCACAUCCUGUUCAUGUGAUGAAUUAUUCACUUUCUCCAUUUUCACAAUAAAUACUUACCACAGGUUUUCUCCUUUGGAGUUGUUGUUACUUCAUUGGUUUGCUGUAACGUUAUAUCGAGCUUGUUUUAAAUGCCAAAGUAUAUGCAUUGGCUUUA